GACGAACGCUGGCGGCGUGCUUAACACAUGCAAGUCGAACGGAAAGGCCCUGCUUUUGUGGGGUGCUCGAGUGGCGAACGGGUGAGUAACACGUGAGUAACCUGCCCUUGACUUUGGGAUAACUUCAGGAAACUGGGGCUAAUACCGGAUAGGAGCUCCUGCUGCAUGGUGGGGGUUGGAAAGUUUCGACGGUUGGGGAUGGACUCGCGGCUUAUCAGCUUGUUGGUGGGGUAGUGGCUUACCAAGGCUUUGACGGGUAGCCGGCCUGAGAGGGUGACCGGCCACAUUGGGACUGAGAUACGGCCCAGACUCCUACGGGAGGCAGCAGUGGGGAAUAUUGCACAAUGGGCGGAAGCCUGAUGCAGCAACGCCGCGUGCGGGAUGACGGCCUUCGGGUUGUAAACCGCUUUCGCCUGUGACGAAGCGUGAGUGGCGGUAAUGGGUAAAGAAGCACCGGCUAACUACGUG
rnacentral:rRNA from 1 species